AACCAGCACCUCAAGUGGUCAGGAUGAUUAUUGGGCCUAAAGCAUCCGUAGCCGGCUCUGUAAGUUUUCGGUUAAAUCUGUACGCUCAACGUACAGGCUGCCGGGAAUACUGCAGAGCUAGGGAGUGGGAGAGGUAGACGGUACUCGGUAGGAAGGGGUAAAAUCCUUUGAUCUAUUGAUGACCACCUGUGGCGAAGGCAGAUCACUAAUAAUGUACUGACACUGAUGGACGAAAGCGUGGGUAGCGAACAGG
rnacentral:rRNA from 1 species